GACAAACGCUGGCGGCGUGCCUAACACAUGCAAGUCGAACGGAGAUUGGGACUUGGUUUCAAUCUUAGUGGCAAACGGGUGAGUAACGCGUAAACAACCUGCCGACCUGACGGGGACAACAAAUCGAAAGGUUUGCUAAUACCGGAUGAUAUUUAAUUAUCGCAUGGUGAUUAAAUGAAAGACGAAAGUUGCGGGUUGAGGGGUUUGCGUCUGAUUAGCUAGAUGGUGAGGUAAAGGCUUACCAUGGCGACGAUCAGUAGCUGGUCUGAGAGGAUGAACAGCCACAAUGGGACUGAGAAACGGUUCAUACUCC
rnacentral:rRNA from 1 species